rnacentral:snRNA from 1 species
UGCGGAUGCUAACGCAAU